rnacentral:rRNA from 1 species
AGUGAACGCUGGCGGCGUGCUUAACACAUGCAAGUCGAACGGACUUAAGGGGCUUGCUUCUUAAGUUAGUGGCGCACGGGUGAGUAAUAUAUAGCUAACCUGCCCUUUAGUGGGGGACAACAGUUGGAAACGGCUGCUAAUACCCCAUACUCCUUCUUAUCAUAAGGUAAGUUGGGAAAGAUUUAUCGCUAAAGGAUGGGGCUUUAUUGUAUCAGCUAGUUGGUGGGGUAACGGCCUACCAAGGCUAUGACGCAUACAUGGUCUGAGAGGAUGAUCAGGCACACUGGAACUGAGACACGGUCCAGACUCCUACGGGAGGCAGCAGUGGGGAAUAUUGCACAAUGGAGGAAACUCUGAUGCAGCAACGCCGCGUGGAGGAUGACGCAUUUCGGUGUGUAAACUCCUUUUAUAGGGGAAGAUAAUGACGGUACCCUAUGAAUAAGCACCGGCUAACUCCGUGCCAGCAGCCGCCGUAA